rnacentral:rRNA from 1 species
UACAGAGGAUGCAAGCGUUAUCCGGAAUGAUUGGGCGUAAAGCGUCUGUAGGUGGCUUUUUAAGUCCGCCGUCAAAUCCCAGGGCUCAACUCUGGACAGGCGGUGGAAACUACCAAGCUGGAGUACGGUAGGGGCAGAGGGAAUUUCCGGUGGAGCGGUGAAAUGCGUAGAGAUGUGGAGGAACACCGAUGGCGAAGGCAGCCUCCUGGGCCAAUACUGACGCUCAUGCACGAAAGCGUGGGGAGCAAACAGG